GUGUCAGCAGCCGCGGUAAUACGGAGGGGGCGAGCGUUAUUCGGAAUCACUGGGCGUAAAGCGUACGUAGGCGGCUUGGCAAGUCAGAAGUGAAAGCCCAGGGCUCAACCCUGGAAUUGCUUUUGAAACUGCCUCGCUAGAAUCCGGGAGAGGCCAGCGGAAUUUCCAGUGUAGAGGUGAAAUUCGUAGAUAUUGGAAGGAACACCAGUGGCGUAGGCGGCUGGCUGGACCGGUAUUGACGCGCAGGUACGAAAGUGUGGGGAGCAAACAGGAUUAGAUACCCUGGUAGUCCACACCGUAAACGAUGUGUGCUAGUUGUCGGGACCCUUAGGGUUUCGGUGACGCCGCUAACGCAUUAAGCACACCGCCUGGGGAGUACGGCCGCAAGGUUAAAACUUAAAUGAAUUGACGGGG
rnacentral:rRNA from 1 species